CGCCUCUUUAUCAAAAACAUCGCCUCCUGCAACACUAAUUGAGUAUAGGAGGUCCAGCCUGCCCAGUGACUACGGGUUCAACGGCCGCGGUAUUUUGACCGUGCAAAGGUAGCGCAAUCACUUGUCUUUUAAAUAGAGACCUGUAUGAAUGGCUAAACGAGGGCUUAGCUGUCUCCCCCUUCCAGUCAGUGAAAUUGAUCUAUCCGUGCAGAAGCGGGUAUAAUACUACAAGACGAGAAGACCCUUUGGAGCUUAAGGUACAAAAUCCACCCACGUCAAACAACUCCGCAAAAAGCAAGAACUUAGUGGACAAUGGACACUUACCUUCGGUUGGGGCGACCACGGAGGAAAACCUAGCCUCCGAGUGGACUGGGCUACAUUCCUAGAACCAAGAGAGACAUCUCUAAGCCACAGAAUAUCUGACCAAUUAAUGAUCCGGACUUCUAGACCGAUCAACGAACCAAGUUACCCUAGGGAUAACAGCGCAAUCCUCUCCCAGAGUCCAUAUCGACGAGGGGGUUUACGACCUCGAUGUUGGAUCAGGACAUCCUAAUGGUGCAGCCGCUAUUAAGGGUUCGUUUGUUCAACGAUUAAAGUCCUACGUGAUCUGAGUUCAGACCGG
rnacentral:rRNA from 1 species